UGGGGAAUCUUGCGCAAUGGGCGAAAGCCUGACGCAGCGACGCCGCGUGUGGGAUGAAGGCCUUCGGGUCGUAAACCACUGUCGCGAGGGACGAAUAAAUUGACGGUACCUCGAAAGGAAGCACCGGCUAACUCUGUGCCAGCAGCCGCGGUAAUACAGAGGGUGCGAGCGUUGUCCGGAAUCACUGGGCGUAAAGGGCGCGUAGGCGGUUUUGUAAGUCGGGGGUGAAAUGCUGCGGCUCAACCGCAGCGCUGCCUUCGAGACUGCAAGACUGGAGCACGGUAGAGGCGGAUGGAAUUCCCGGUGUAGCGGUGGAAUGCGUAGAGAUCGGGAAGAACACCAAUGGCGAAGGCAGUCCGCUGGGCCGUUGCUGACGCUGAGGCGCGACAGCGUGGGGAGCAAACAGGAUUAGAUACCCCCGUAGUCC
rnacentral:rRNA from 1 species